UCCGAGUUGACCCCGGCAGUCUCCUACGAGUCCCCGCCAUUACGCGCUGGCAACAUAGGAUAAGGGUUGCGCUCGUUGCGGGACUUAACCCAACGUCUCACGACACGAGCUGACGACAGCCAUGCACCACCUGUGACCGUGCCCCGAAGGGAGGGUGUGUUUCCACACCUGUCACGGACAUGUCAAGCCCAGGUAAGGUUCUUCGCGUUGCGUCGAAUUAAGCCACAUGCUCCGCUGCUUGUGCGGGCCCCCGUCAAUUCCUUUGAGUUUUAGCCUUGCGGCCGUACUCCCCAGGCGGGGCACUUAAUGCGUUAGCUGCGGCACAGAACCCGUGGAAAGGCCCCACACCUAGCGCCCAACGUUUACAGCAUGGACUAC
rnacentral:misc_RNA from 1 species